rnacentral:rRNA from 1 species
GAAUCUUGCGCGAUGGGCGAAAGCCUGACGCAGCAACGCCGCGUGGGGGAUGAAGGCUCUCGGGUUGUAAACCCCUUUCAGCAGGGACGAAAUUGACGGUACCUGCAGAAGAAGCCCCGGCCAACUACGUGCCAGCAGCCGCGGUAAUACGUAGGGGGCGAGCGUUGUCCGGAUUUAUUGGGCGUAAAGAGCUCGUAGGCGGCUUGGCAAGUCGGGUGUGAAAACUCCAGGCUCAACCUGGAGAUGCCACUCGAGACUGCUAUGGCUAGAGUCCGGUAGGGGACCACGGAAUUCCUGGUGUAGCGGUGAAAUGCGCAGAUAUCAGGAGGAACACCGGUGGCGAAGGCGGUGGUCUGGGCCGGCACUGACGCUGAGGAGCGAAAGCGUGGGGAGCAAACAGG